GGUGGUGAGACCAGGGGCUCUCUGACCACCCCAAGGAGCCUGGUCCGCCCAGCAUUUCUCCAGCCUCAUUAAAAUGUACCCACUUUGUGUCUCGUCUCCCCUGGUCCCCAUAUCCCAGCCCUGCCUGGGUGUUGGAUGCAAAGCACUCUUUCCUGGCCUUCGAUUCUGGAUAUUCAAAAGACAGCGGUUGAGCCACAAGUAGUGGGUUGUUUUUUUUUUUUUUGUACCGCAUUUAAAAUGCCUUUCUGGAAGGUCGUUUAGGAAUGGUGAGCCAGCGUGUGGGGUCUCUGGACUGUGUGUGGGGGCUCCGUGUGGACAGGCCGUGGGGUAAGAAAUCUCUCAGUCCCAUCAAAGCUUAGAGCAUGCGUGCAUGCGUGUAUAAGUCAUUCAGUCGUGUCUUUGUGACCCCAUGGACUGUAGCCCGCCAGGCUCCUCUGUCCAUGGGAUUCUCCAGGCAAGAAUUCUGGAGUGGGUUGCCAUGCCCUUCUCCAGGGGGUCUUCCCCACCCAGGGAUGGAAGCCACAUCUCUCAUCUCUUGCCUUGGCAGACCAGCUCUUUACCGUUGAGCCACUGGAGAAGCCCAACCUUAGAGUAGACCCCGCUAACCUGGGGUUGGCUCCAGGUGGCUUCUUGCCACACAGGCUGAGCCUGUGAACGAAAAUGCUGGAAAACCCUGCUGUGCCCAUGUUCGUCUGGGGCAUCUCUUGGGAAGGCAGGCUCCCACGUUGGUUCCCAGGCGCUCUGAGCACAGCACCCUGCGCUGAGUUCACAGCAACCGAAAGGAAUCAGGCUCCGUGGUUGUCUUCAGCCCGCAGCUGGGGAGAUGCUGACGCCCAGGAUGGGCUCCUCCGUGGGGCACAGGGCCACCUGGGGGCCAGGGAGCCUGGGAUGGCUGAAGGGCUAGCUCUCCUGGGAGGAGAAGGCAGUGUGAACCGCCUCAUGGAGACCUCACUGUGUGUGGUGAGUCAGGUCGGGGAGAACACGCAGCCUGGAGCAGCUGGUGUGUAGGGGGAUGUGUGUGUGCACGUGUGUGCACGUGUGCGCAUGCACAUGUGUGUGCACGCAUAUGCGUGUGUGCAUGUGUGUGACACCCAAGGCUGGACAACUUGGCAGGGACAGGACCACGCAUGUCCCAUAAACGUUGUACCUUAGAUUUCACCCUGUAGGCCGGGCUUCCCAAAUCGGGUCUGGGAUUCUGAAAACAAGUGUCCUGGGGCCCAAACAUUCUAGAAAGUAAACUCCAGCCCUGCAGUGGGGAGUCACACUCAGCUUGAGUCUAUCAGAGCCCCUGAGAAAGCCUGCAACAAGGUAAAAAAAAAAAUGAUAAAAACCCAGGGUUUCCCAAGAGAACUUCAACAAAGAGCUCCUUCCUGGGAGAAUGCACGGGACCUCCCCCUGGCACGCUGGGGUUCCAGGGAGCCUGGUUUGGGAAGCAUUAUGUGGGAUUAGCCAUGAUUAUAUGGGACAGCCUUUGAAGGGUUUUAAGAGAAGUGAGGGUGAUGUGGUCAGGCUUGUGCUUGGAUUGUACCUGGGAGACUGGGGACGUGGGGCCACUCAAUGUCACGGGGGUGAACGUUAUCAUUUACUGCGUGCCCACUGCGCCCUCUGCCUUGGGGCUCAGAGCCAGCGGGCCCAUCUCAGGCCAUGCUGGUGGGUCAGACAGGCAGAGGGCUCAGGGUGGGCUCCCCAAAGCCAACUUCCCAAGUAGUGGAUGCUCUUAGAGUCAGGCUCCAGGGCGCCAGCGGCUGGAGUGGGUUGGAGGUGGUCUAGGCAUUUUGAAGCCUUUAUUUUCUCUAAUAACUAUUAAAUGUUGUAUUCUUUUUUUAAAUGUUCAUUUACUUGGCUGCCCCGUGUCUUAGUUGAGGCCCAGGGGAUCUUUAGUGUGGUUGAUGAACUCUUAGUUGUAGCAAAUGGGACCUAGUUCCCUGACCAGGGGUUGAACCCCGGGCCCCCCACAACGGAUGCACAGAGUCUUAGCCCCUGGACCACCAGGGGCGUCAUGAAACCUUUCUUCUUGGCUGAUGGAGUCCUGGCUUGCGAAGCCCCUGCCCUGUUUGUCCUGCUGGCCAUGGGCUGGUAACAAGGCCCCUGUGAUGAGGCAGAGCCCGGCCGGGCCCUGGAGAAACGGAUGGUGGGGGAGACACGGGAGGCUGAGCAGAGAACAGUAGCGUGGCGGCCACAGGCAGAUGCAGAGGGCUCAGGGGCUGAGUGGGAGGCCCGCAGCUGGGGCUGGCCCUGCCCCUCCUAUGAACACAGUGCUGCCCAUGAGGCCCCGGUCCUCAGUUUCCUCAUCUGUCAAGUGGGGUGAUUGCUCCGUUUCGGUGAAUUGGUGCAGACAGUAAUGAGCUACAGCACGCACACACGUGCCUCUAACGAGCGGUCCCCAGACGGUCGAUUACUUUGUGCAUUAUGAUCAUACUUCUGACGCCUCCCACACCCUUUCCAUCACCUGGCGAGGCCUGGAGGCUCCCCAGAGGCGGAGCUCCAGUGCUGAGCGGCGGGAGGUGACCCGGGCUCUCUGGACAGAUGGAUAGGGAGGACGCAGGGAGCUGGGAGCCGGGCAAAGGCAGAGGGACCGGCCGCACCGGGUGGGCGCGCAGACCGCAAGCCCUGUCGUCACAGCCCCCGGGGCAGGGGGCACCCAGAGGGGCUGAGGCCAUUGGAGGGCGGGGAGGGGCGGCCUCGGUGGGUGGGGUGGCCUCGGUGGGCGGGGCCACAUGGGCCCAGCCUCCGAUGGGCACCUUGCACAGCAUGGUCCGUGCGCGGCCUGCCCUUACUCCCGGCGCCCGCCCGGGCACAGGGACCUCAGACAUCCUGCUUCCCACGAGGCGGCAGGGGCAGAGUCCAGCCCCUGUGGGACUGGAGUCGGUCCUGGGCUCCGACCGGCACUGUCUCACUUGGCGAAUCUGUUCCUUACUCAUGCACCCGAGAUGUGCUCAUGGAGUCAGGGAAGGGCCAAGUGAUGGGGCUGAGGUCACUCGGCUGGGAAAUGACAGAGGCAGGCCUGGCCCGGCUCCGGCUGGCUCUCUUCUUCAGGCAGGGCGGUGGACCCCCGAGGUCUGGGGUCAGGAUCAGGCCUGGGUCUUCAGCGCCAAUAGGCUCAACCUCUAUAGAGCAUUCCUGGCGGCGUUACCCGCUCCCCUACCCCGGGCCUUCCCAGGGCCUGGUCAGAAAUCACCGUGUGAUGUCCAUGUGUAGAGGCAGGUAAGGGGCUACUGUCUCCAGCAUAUCCCCCCUGGACGUGAGUCCUGCUGGCUCCACCCUCACUUGCCUUCGGAUGCACCCAGGGUCCUGUCUCCAGCCCCCUCCUUCCCUGAGCUGGAAUCCUGUGUCUCAGCUGGCCCUUACCCUCAACCGACAGGACCACCCCAGGGGAGUUUAGGUCAGAAGGCUUCGUCACGCUUUGACCCCAUACUUCCCCGCAUCCCUCACUCCCUGUCUGCAGGAGGGUCCUCAGCUUGACCUUGAGAUGUUACCCCCAGGGUCCCUCCAGCCACGCUGGCCUCCGCAGACCUUCUCUGCCUCCCUCAUUCUCCCUUCGGUCACUUCUUCACACGGCGGCCAGGGUGACCGUGAUAAAUCCGUGCCGCCCAUCACGGGUGUUCCCCAACACCUACCCUGAGCCCCAGACCCCUGUGCUGUCUGGCCCUGCCCACCCCUCCAACACCGUCUCCUCCCUUGCUCCAGCCACACCGGUCUCCUUUCCACCUCAGGGUCUUUGCAUGUGUGGUGUCCAUUGCAUCAAAUUCCUGUUCCCUCACCUUCGUGGGACCGAGUCCUCAACUUGCCUUAGCCUAGAUGAGCUGCCCUCUCUGAUUGCCUGGGUAGUCCCUUGCCUCAGCCUCAUGGGCGCACCGUGGGGACUCCUCUGAACCACCUCUCAUUUCUUCUCUGACUCAAUGACUUAUUUUCAACUUCACCAGGCUCUGAGCCUCACAGGGCGGACGUCUGGUCUGUUUGUUCUCUGCAGGCCUGGUCCAGCAGCUGAGCUCAGUUGGUGCCGUUGGAAUGAAAGGCCAGCCCACGUGGUGUGUGUCCCUCCUCGCAUACCCCCAGUGAUGGUGGGCUCACUACCUACCCAGGGAGCUUUUGCCCCUUCCCAUGUCUGUGCGAGGCAGAUGCUACAUGUUGGGGAUGAGUAUCCGUCAGGGGGAGAGUAAAGGCCAGAGAGCUGCGUAUGCAUGGAGCAGAGGGAUCCCUUUUCGCAGCCUCUGCCCACAGCUGCAGACCAGGAGGCCUGCGAGUAUGCAGUUAAGUCGGAAUUUCGAGCCCCUGGGCAGUUCAUUCAUUCUCAGUCGCUUCGGCCGUCGUCGGACUCUGUCCCUGGGAUUUUCCCAGCAAGAAUCCUGGAGGGCAAUUCACAAUGUGGCAUUUAAUCAUCGGCUUUUAUUGUUCAGCCCCAGAGCAGGUGCCCGUGGAGACUCUGGGCUCUGUUUAUUUAAGAGCUUUGUUGACUUUCGGGGUUUAAUCCCCUUAGCAGCUUCCCGGGCCCCGCACUCAGGACUCACCCGGGCCCCCACCUCUCACCUUAGUGGCUUCCCGGGCCCUGCACUCAGGACUCACCAGGGCCCCCUCCUCUCCCCUCCCCCCGCCCGCACCAGGGGCUGAGUUGCAGCCUCUGGCAGCUCCUGAGGACCCAUGAGGAGCCAGGGGUCCGGCCAAGAGGAGCUUAGGGCCUGGACUGCUGUGCCGCCAUCCUUUCCCGGCCAGGGCUUAGCCUGGACAGCACCCUCACCCUGCCGCCUCGCGCUCCCUAAAGCUGGUCUGGAGGUGCGCUGGGAUCCCACAGCACCCCGUCCGGUCCUGCCUUCCCCAGGCCUGUCCCCUUCCCAUGCACCUCCACACGGGACCCCCCACUUGCCUUUGGGGACCAAGCAGGACUUCCCAUGCAGCCCACUGGCUCAGUACAUCCUGGGCUGUGCUUCAUGUCCACCUCCACCACCACCACCACCAGCCAAGUCCCUGUGAAAUCCCUGAUCAUCUGUGCCAUGAGGGACAGAGGACAAAUGGGUGGAACUCGGGGGAGGGAGAACACAUCUCUGGGUUGGGGAGAGGGAGCAGUCAGGGAGAGCUUCCUGGAGGAGGUGGCAUCUAAACAGCCAUGGAGAUGCCCGAUGCAAACAGAGCCUGUGCAGGAGGAUAGCAGGAAAUGCUAAGCAUAGGUGGGAGGAGCUGUGAGGGUGACCCGUCUUCAGGAAAUGAGAGACCCCUGAAGCUUAUGGGUAACAGGUGUGCAGAGCGGGGUGCCGGGGCCCAGCUCGUGGGAGUCUGGUGCCUGAGUGGGUCUUUGCUCGGCUGGCAGGCGAGGGAGACAGGCCCCAGAGGCUCUGGAACCUCAUGACGGGGCAGGGGCAGGGCGGGCAGGCAGCCGGGCCUGUCCUGAAAGAGCAGGUUUGGAGAGCUCUGCUUAGGUUCUGGCGUGGGUUCUGGCGCGGAGGGUGUCCAGUGCGGGAUGGGCUUUCACGGCAGGAGCCUGGCUGGCGAGCGGCCCUGGCCCUGGGUUGGUGCUGUGUCACUGUGUUUGCGUCACUGAGAGGGGGCGGCUGAGGUUUGGGGCAGGGCCGCAGGCUCAUCGCCCCUCCAGACUGUGGGGGCCCCCUCCAUGACCUGCGGGGCCCGUGGAGCCCCACCCCCACCCUGUCCAAAUCCAGGUCUGAGCUUGUCUUCAAGUCCACAUCCCAAGGGGACCUGAUGGAGACCACCCAGCCACUUGGGGAGUGAACUGCCCCGAGUCCGUCACGCCGCGAGCGUUGUACCAGGGGAGCCGGAACCCAGGUGUGCCGGGCUCAAACCCCUGACGGCGUCCACCUGGCCCGACACGUGCCCCUUGGCUGCCAAAAGCCUGGGAGAAAUGAGGCCAAGCACAGAAGCCUCCUUGCAGGCCUGGGGUUCAUACAAACCAAGUGUGGAGCGGUGGGCCACUGGCUGAGUCCCGCCAGAAGCACUGAAAGCCACCUCCUCCUGGGCUGCUCUAAUGGAGAGAAGCCAGCAGGCUUUACCAGGGUCAAGGGUGAGACCUUGUGCUGCAGGCUAAACACCCGUCAUGUCUGGGUUUGUCAUGGCCUUUCUAAGAAAAGACCCCAGCAAGGUACAGUGGCCUGCCCGAGGUCAGCAGGUGGGAAGAGACAGCUCUGCCCUGAGACUGGUCCUUCUGACCAUCCCUGGACACCGGGCAGGCCUCCAGCACCUUGAGGAAGUGGCCUCCCAGCUUUGAUAAAGGUGUUGAAUAGUUGGAGAAAGAAUGAAAGCACAGACUCCUUGUCCUAGAGUAGCACAGACUCCUUGUCCUAGAGUAGCACAGACAUGGCCAGGACAUGUGGGGUGUGUGCCUCCCAAACAGAAGGCCAGGUCUGCUGCAGAGGGGAGCAGGGGGCCCCUGCGGUUGUGCCACGCACAACCUGCCCGACUAUGCUUUAGCCCUCUUGCAAAGCCAGGACUGAGACCCAGUUCUGUUCGAGUUCCACCACUUCCCGAGGUGAGGCCCUGCAAGUCUAGGCUCUCCACACCUCAGCUUCCCCAUCUGUGAAGGGGGGACAACAGACCCUCCUCCCUGGAUCACUGACAGUCGAUGAGAUAAUUCACCCCUGUGUAAGGGUUAACAGGCGUUCGUGGGAACAAACCUAAGCGUUGUCAAGUGGACGCUUCUGACGUGAAUGGAGUUUAUGAGGGAGGCAGGGCCACUGAGGAUGGGAAGGAGCCAGAAGGCAGCGUUGGCAGAAAGGCUGCCAUGUGCCAGGCCUUGCCCACAGGGGUUCCACUGGCCUCAUUUAGCCCCCAUGUCACAGCUGAGGACCCUGAGCCCAGAGGAGUCAACUGAUGGGCCAGUAGGCGGGGAGGGUUUCCUGUAAGAGGAAGACCAGGGGGUUGACCCCAUCUUAGCUUGCGGGCGGCCUGGAGUCCUGCCUGGCCUGUGGGGCCCCUUCAUAAAGUACAAACAGGCUGGUGGCAGAGCCCUCUGCUCCGUGGCGUUGGCUGCAGCCGCAGUGGGAUUCACAGCUGGAGGAGCUGGGCUGGCCCCGAGCUGAGGACCGGCCAUGCCAGGCUCUCCGGGAGCAGGACAGCCCGCCACCCUGGACAAGGACCAACAAGGAGAAAGAGACGUGUCAGGGGUCGGGGGACCUUGCUGCCAGCUUUGCUGGGUGCUCUGACCUCUCUGAGCCUUUUUCCUCACCUGUACAAUCGUGACGAUCCCUGCCCUGCAGAAUGGCUGUGAAAAUUCCCUGAAGCCUAAGUGCCUGAAGCCUGGGCUGGCGUGGCCUGUGGAGUGGAGGUCUGGCUGCAGCCCUCAGCCCUGUGUUCCAGGGAUGGGAGCCUGGGGGUCGCAGACAGUAGGGGUCCCCCCUCCCCACCACCCCACCCCGGGAGCUGCAGCAGGAUCUGAAGUCACCGUCUUUGGCUGCGGGGAGACAGUUCACUCCGGGACAGGCAUGUUUUCAAGAAAAAGAAAAACACAGGCAGGGAGCCAUCCUGGGAACUAAUUAGAUCCGGAAGGCGGCCCCUGGGGCUGCAAAGCGGCCCCUUGUGGGUGGUGGGUGGGGCCUGGGGGUGUGGGCGAGAGGCCGAGGAGGGGCCCCUGGGACCAUGCACCCACUCUCAGGGCCCCUGUUCCCCAUGGCUCUCUGCUCACCGCCGUGGGUCAGGGGCGCCCAGGCCACGGGGACAUUCUUGGAGGACAGGUCUGGGAGAGGGGUCACACAGGGCCUUGGGCCCCAGAUGAGAGCGCUUGGUCCCUGAGCCCACUGAGUCAGGCAGGGCGGGCUCCCCAGGGGCAGUGUGUUGGCCUGGGCCUAGGGGUCUGCAGGAGAAGGACUGACUACAAAGGUUCGGGGGAUACUUCAGAGCGUGCGUGCUUGGGGAACCACAGCUGAGGCCACCGGGAGGUGGGCACAGCACUAGCGAGGCUGAGGACUAAAUGGGACACCUUGGUCCCCGAGCCCUGGUGAGAGGUUGCCAUCUGGCCGCAUUGUGGACGGAUGGGCCCAGCCUGGGACCUUGUGGGCACCUGCUGAUGAUCCCUCCAUCCUCAGUUCCUAGCUGACUGCUGGGUGAUGACGGGGGUAGCAGGGGAGUCUUCUGAUUGCAGGAGGCAAUAGAAGAAUGGGCAGUGACCUCUGAGUUAGAGGGAAAAAAACCGAGUCUCAGUCCUGGCUCUGCCCGCUGUGUGCUGGACAGGUAAGGUGUACAGUCGGGCAGGUUGCGCACUGCACAACUCCAAGGGCAGCCUUCACACAGGGAUCUCUGUUAACAAUGGCCCCUGGGUGUGCAGUGCCCAACCUGUGUGACCAGUGGCCCUGGGAGGGGUGUCUGGGCCAGUCUGUCUGCCUUCCUGGGCUGGGACUUCCCCACCCAUUCCCCUGGCCAUCGUGAGCAUCGAGUCAGCACACAGUAGAUCCUCUUCCAGGGUCCGCCACUGUCAGCCCUCCUGGAAGCCCUGCCCCACAGAGACGCAGGAGUUCUUCCUGACCAGGACUUCCAAGGCCUGCAGACUCCAGCUCAUUUUUGAAAACACACACACGAUGCUAACAGCUGAAUCUGGUCAAGACUGACUGUUGACUUCAGAACUUUGGCUCCAGGACAGGCCUGUUCCUGGCACACGGCUCCCACGGCGAGACCUGCUUAGGAGGCUGAACAACCUUUGUGGUGGUGUUUGCCGACCUGCUGUGUGCUGCUGGGUCAGUUGGGGUCUGGCAGAGCAUCCCUGCCCUCCAUCCUUCCCACCCUCCCCCUCUCAGGGGCCGCCUUGGGGGUCGCCUCUGCUGGUGACAGCUGGGCUGUGGGGCAUCCCGACAGGGCUGCUGUGUCCCAAAGGAGCUGGUGCACGGGUGGGAGGUGAGCCCUGCCCGCCUUCUCCCUGGGGUUCCUGCAGCCUCCAGGGCCCUGCAGCCUGCCCGCGGGGGUGCUGGGAACAGUGCAGUCUCUCGCUUUCACACCCUCCAGCCCAGCUCACACACACACACACACGCGCGCACACACAAAC